CAUGGUUUAGCCAGUCUUAAUCAAGCAAAGUGAAACAUCAGUUUGACCCCCCGAAACUAGGCGAGCUACUUCGAAUCAACUAAUAGAGCCAACCCGUCUCUGUUGCAAAAGAGUGGGAUGAAUUCCAAGUAGAAGUGAAAAGCCUAUCGAGCCUAGAGAUAGCUGGUUACUCAAGAAUAGAAUCUUAGUUCGCCUUUAAGCUUCCUUAUGUAUUUAAACAACCCACUAAGCUUAAGAGUUAUUCAAAUAAGGCACAGCUUGUUUGAAAAAGAAUACAGUCUACAACUAAGGGUAAGUAACAAAAUCCGUGCCAAGUGGGCCUGAAAGCAGCCACCUUUUAAAAAGCGUUAAAGCUUCACACACCCUUAUACUAUAAAUAAUACCCCCAUCUUCACCGAACCCUUUACCAAUACUGAGUGACCCUAUAAAUUAUAGGAGGCAUAAUGCUAAAACUAGUAACAAGAAGUAGACCUUCUCCGAAAUGUAAGUGUACGCCAAAAUGGACACACCAUUGGCACUUACCGCGCUUGACUAAAGUAUAGUAACACUCACCCCCGAAAAACCUAUUAUACCUCAGCGUUAACCUAACACAAGAACAUUACCGGAAAGAUUAAAAGAGAAAGAAGGAACUCGGCAAAUCUAGGGCCCGCCUGUUUAC
rnacentral:rRNA from 1 species